rnacentral:rRNA from 1 species
AACGAACGCUGGCGGCAUGCCUAACACAUGCAAGUCGAACGAGACCUUCGGGUCUAGUGGCGCACGUGUGCGUAACGCGUGGGAACCUGCCCUUAGGUUCGGAAUAACUCCCCGAAAGGGGUGCUAAUACCGGUUAAUGUCUUCGGACCAAAGAUUUAUCGCCUUUGGAUGGGCCCGCGUUGGAUUAGCUAGUUGGUAGGGUAAAAGCCUACCAAGGCGACGAUCCAUAGCUGGUCUGAGAGGAGGAUCAGCCACACUGGGACUGAGACACGGCCCAGACUCCUACGGGAGGCAGCAGUGGGGAAUAUUGGACAAUGGGCGAAAGCCUGAUCCAGCAAUGCCGCGUGAGUGAUGAAGGCCUUAGGGUUGUAAAGCUCUUUUACCCGGGAUGAUAAUGACAGUACCAGGAGAAUAAGCUCCGGCUAACUCCGUG